UACGUAGGCAGCGAGCGUUGUUCGGAGUUACUGGGCGUAAAGAGCUCGUAGGCGGUCUGUUGCGUCUGCUGUGAAAACCCGGGGCUUAACCCCUGGCUUGCAGUGGAUACGGACAGACUAGAGGUAGGUAGGGGAGAAUGGAAUUCCCGGUGUAGCGGUGAAAUGCGCAGAUAUCGGGAGGAACACCGGUGGCGAAGGCGGUUCUCUGGGCCUUACCUGACGCUGAGGAGCGAAAGCGUGGGGAGCGAACAGG
rnacentral:rRNA from 1 species